rnacentral:rRNA from 1 species
AGAUCUAUGUCUGAGCGAGAAAGUGUAGCAAUACAUGAGUAAAGCGGCGCACGCGCGUUGUAGUAACACGUGGAUAACCUGCCUCAAAGUGGGGAAUAACACCGGGAAACCGGUGCUAAUACCGCAUAUUCUGACUGAGUCUGCGGAUUCGGUCAGGAAAGGAGCAAUUCGCUAUGAGAGGGGUCCGCGGCUGAUUAGCUAGUUGGUGAGGUAAUGGCUCACCAAGGCCACGAUCAGUAGCCGGUCUGAGAGGACGGUCGGCCACACUGGAACUGAGACACGGUCCAGACUCCUACGGGAGGCAGCAGUGGGGAAUUUUUCGCAAUGGGGGCAACCCUGACGAAGCAAUGCCGCGUGGAUGAUGAAGUAUCUCGGUACGUAAAAUCCUUUCGACGGGGACGAAACCGCAAGGUUGACGGUACCCGUAGAAGAAGCCCCGGCUAACUCCGUGCCAGCAGCCGCGGUAAUACGGGGGGGGCAAGCGUUGUUCGGAAUUACUGGGCGUAGAGGGUGCGUAGGUGGUGAGGUAAGUCGGAUGUGAAAGCUCGGAGCUCAACUCCGAAAUGGCAUUGGAAACUACCUUGCUCGAGGGUUGGAGGGGGGACUGGAAUACUUGGUGUAGCAGUGAAAUGCGUAGAUAUCAAGUGGAACACCAGUGGCGAAGGCGAGUCCCUGGACAACUCCUGACACUGAGGCACGAAAGCUAGGGGAG